CCGGAGUACUAUGAAUACUUAAACAUUUAAAACUUAAAGAACUUGGCGGUGUUUUAGACCACUUAGGGGAACCUGUCUCGUAAUCGACAAUCCGCGUUAAACCUGACCUUUUCUUGUUAUCAGUUUGUAUACCGUUGUCGUCAGGUAACUUUUUAGAAAUUAGAAGUUAGCGAUAAAAGCAAUUUAAUGACUUAGGACGUCAAAUCAAGGUGCAGCUAACGAAAAGGGGAGGAUGGGUUACAAUUAUUUGAUUUAUAAUAACGGACGAACAACAUGAAUAUGUUUCAAAUUAUAAGGUGGACUUGAAAGUAAAUUAGAUUAUAUAGAUAGUUUGAAUAAGGCUCUGAAACGUGU
rnacentral:rRNA from 1 species